GUGUGGUGUGUGUGUGUGUGGUGUGGUGUGUGUGGUGUGGUGUGUGUGUAUAUGUGGUGUGGUGUGUGUAUGUGGUGUGUGUGUGGUGUGGUGUGUGUGUGUGUGUGGUGUGGUGUGUGUAUAUGUGGUGUGGUGUGGUGUGUGUGUGGUGUGGUGUGUGUGUGUGUGUGUGGUGUGGUGUGGGGUUUGUGUGGUGUGGGGUUUGUGUGGUGUAGUGUGUGGUGUUGUGUGGUGUGUAUAUGUGUUUUAAGUAAUAGUUUGCUUUUAAAAUAUGCAAAUCGCUGCUUUUACAAUAUUAUUUAAUUGGAAUUGUAAAAAUAUAAUUUCUUAGCACAAAUAAAUAAAUAAAUAAUAAAUAAAAUCUCUCCUAUGUUUCGUCACGCUCUUCCUGUUUCUGCUCUGGACUCUCUUGACCAAUCAACAUGAUGCAAAUGUACAUGACAGAGGUUAACAGGGACAGACUGCUGUAGUUUGGGGUUAACAGGGACAGGGACAGACUGCUGUAGUUUGGGGUUAACAGGGACAGUCUGCUGUAGUUUGGGGUUAACAGGGACAGGGACAGACUGCUGUAGUUUGGGGUUAACAGGGACAGGGACAGACUGCUGUAGUUUGGGGUUAACAGGGACAGCCUGCUGUACUUUGGGGUUAACAGGGACAGACUGCUGUAGUUUGGGGUUAACAGGGACAGGGACAGACUGCUGUAGUUUGGGGUUAACAGGGACAGACUGCUGUAGUUUGGGGUUAACAGGGACAGGGACAGACUGCUGUAGUUUGGGGUUAACAGGGACAGUCUGCUGUAGUUUGGGGUUAACAGGGACAGGGACAGACUGCUGUAGUUUGGGGUUAACAGGGACAGGGACAGUCUGCUGUAGUUUGGGGUUAACAGGGACAGACUGCUGUAGUUUGGGGUUAACAGGGACAGGGACAGACUGCUGUAGUUUGGGGUUAACAGGGACAGCCUGCUGUACUUUGGGGUUAACAGGGACAGGGACAGACUGCUGUAGUUUAGGGUUAACAAGGACAUACUGCUGUAGUUUGGGGUUAACAGGGACAGACUGCUGUAGUUUGGGGUUAACAGGGACAGACUGCUGUAGUUUGGGGUUAACAGGGACAGACUGCCGUAGUUUGGGGUUAACAGGGACAGACUGCUGUAGUUUGGGGUUAACAGGGACAGACUGCUGUAGUUUGGGGUUAACAGGGACAGACUGCUGUAGUUUGGGGUUAACAGGGACAGACUGCCGUAGUUUGGGGUUAACAGGGACAGACUGCCGUAGUUUGGGGUUAACAGGGACAGACUGCCGUAGUUUGGGGUUAACAGGGACAGAGGUUAACAGGGACAGACUGCUGUAGUUUGGGGUUAACAGGGACAGAGGUUAACAGGGACAGACUGCUGUAGUUUGGGGGUUAACAAGGACAGACUGCUGUAGUUUGGGGUUAACAGGGACAGAGGUUAACAGGGACAGACUGCUGUAGUUUGGGGGUUAACAAGGACAGACUGCUGUAGUUUGGGGUUAACAGGGACAGAGGUUAACAGGGACAGACUGCUGUAGGUUGGGGUUAACAGGGACAGACUGCUGUAGUUUGGGGUUAACAGGGACAGAGGUUAACAGGGACAGACUGCUGUAGUUUGGGGGUUAACAAGGACAGAGGUAAACAGUGGACAGAUUGUCGUUUGUUGCUAACAGCAACAGUGAAACAGAACACUGAUUUUUGCUGAUUCUGUUUUCUGAUGAGUGUUUUGAGGUUCGUUCCUCCUUGUUCCUUGUCAAUCAUUGGCUCAUUGAUGAAAUUAGCAUUACGACAAUAUCUUUAAUUAAAUAAUUCAAAAACCUUUUAUUAAUUGUAAUUGCAGACAGAAUUUGACAAUCAGGAAGAUAACGCAUCAGAGUAAGUUCUGCAUCAAAGGUCCCUUAGUUAUUUUAUUAGACCCUGAAUCCGGCCCUCGCGACGUCACUGCCCACGUCAUUAUAUUUCUGAGCGUUCUGAGCCCUCUCCUGUACUCCCUGUUCACCCACGACUGCAUGGCCACGCACGCCUCCAACUCAAUCAUCAAGUUUGCGGACGACACAACAGUGGUAGGCUUGAUUACCAACAACGACGAGACGGCCUACAGGGAGGAGGUGAGGGCCCUCGGAGUGUGGUGUCAGGAAAGUAACCUCACACUCAACGUCA